GACGAACGCUGGCGGCGUGCUUAACACAUGCAAGUCGAACGAAGAGCGAUGGAAGCUUGCUUCUAUCAAUCUUAGUGGCGAACGGGUGAGUAACGCGUAAUCAACCUGCCCUUCAGAGGGGGACAACAGUUGGAAACGACUGCUAAUACCGCAUACGAUCCAAUCUCGGCAUCGGGACUGGAUGAAAGGUGGCCUCUAUUUAUAAGCUAUCACUGAAGGAGGGGAUUGCGUCUGAUUAGCUAGUUGGAGGGGUAACGGCCCACCAAGGCGAUGAUCAGUAGCCGGUCUGAGAGGAUGAACGGCCACAUUGGGACUGAGACACGGCCCAGACGCCUACGGGAGGCAGCAGUGGGGAAUCGUCCGCAAUGGACGAAAGUCUGACGGAGCAACGCCGCGUGAGGGAUGACGGCCUUCGGGUUGUAAAGCUCGGUUAAUCGGGACGAAUGGUUCUUGUGCGAAUAGUGCGAGGAUUUGACGGUACCGGAAUAGAAAGCCACGGCUAACUACGUG
rnacentral:rRNA from 1 species